rnacentral:rRNA from 1 species
AGGAUAAACGCUGGCGGCGUGCCUAACACAUGCAAGUCGAACGCGCUUUCGGGCUUCGGUGCGAGAGCGAGUGGCGGACGGGUGAGUAACACAUGGGUACCUACCUUGGAGUGAGGGAUACCGGCGAGAAAUCGCCGACAAUACCGCAUAGGCUUCUUCACAAGGGAAGCAAAGUGACGCGAGUCACGCUUUGAGAUGGGCCUGUGGCCGAUUAGCUAGUUGGGGGGGUAACGGCUUCCCAAGGCGACGAUCGGUAGCUGGUCUGAGAGGACGAUCAGCCACACUGGGAUUGAGAACGGCCCAGACUCCUACGGGGGCAGCAGUGAGGAAUUUUCCGCAAUGGAGGCAACUCUGACGGAGCAACGCCGCGUGCAGGAGGAAGGUUUUCGGAUCGUAAACUGCUUUUCUCGGGGACGAGCAAGGACGGUACCCGAGGAAGAAGCCCCGGCUAACUACGUGCCAGCAGCCGC